rnacentral:lncRNA from 1 species
GAGGAUUGGCAAGAUACCAUGAGAAAUCGUUGUACGUCCAUCCCCUUGAACUCCACUGACCUCCCAUGGGGGACAGGGAUAUGGGCUCAAAUAUUGUGUUGAACAAAUUACUCCCAAGACAUGGCUACAGUUCAUUUGGAACAUUUUUAUUGUCUGAACACUUCAAUCCACGUGAUCAGAGUUUGUAUUCUACUUCAUAGGUAAGUUAAUAAGCUAUUUAGGGUAAUUCAUGAUUGCAGUUUAAUUAAUGUCUCAGAAUUUAUGCUCCUGUUUGCCCUGCUCUGCGUAAGUAU